rnacentral:tRNA from 1 species
GGUUUGUGGCUCAGUGGUAUAGUGCUUACCUAGUAUGUGCAAGGCCUGGGUUCAAUCCUCAGCACCA